ACAGCUCAGGUAGUCCGUGUAUGAAGAGACAAUAUAUGAUAUUACCGCCAGCAAGAGAAUUAAAUCUCGCAGCCGCCACGGUGAAGCAGCGUAGACAAGAGUGGAUCAGGCCAUAGUGACACGACUGGUGAGUGUGAGUGUGCUGCGAAAGAACUCCUCGGUGGAUCUCAAUCAGGGAGCAGUGAUUGCUGCCAUCUUGGAGCAGUUGCAGCAAAGCAUGCAGUGCAGCCUCCCAAACCAAGGCCUCAAACUGAGAUGGCUAAUGCCGGACAAGCACAGAAAACUCUUUCACGCGGAAAAGAAGAUCAGUAAUGGUUCUGGAAUAAAUUAGGUUGGAAUUGUCAUGUAUCUGAAAAGGUCAUACUGUAAGAAAAGUAUCCAUGUAGAAUUCUUGUUCACAUUUUUGAUCUGAGCCAAAUAUUGAACUAUGAAAAAUAAAACAAUUGUUUUCGUUUUUGUGCAUGAGAGUAAUAAGGGAAGUUAAUUAAUUUGUCACUUUUUCUUUUUUGAUAUCUAAUAGUUUUCAAUCAUAUUUGUCUGCCAUUUUGGAGGUUGAGAUCUGGAGGAUAAGCUUGGCUACAUCCUCGAUACAGCGAAAACGAACAAAUUAAAUGACGUGUUUGUUUUUAUUCGUUCAUUCUCACAAUUCAAACAUCUCUCACCGGCUAACUGUGCAAAGACAAGCGGAAAUAGAACUAAGACUGUUUCACGUAAAAGUAGAGUUUACGGUUUAAACAAACAAACAAAAAAAAUUGUCUUUAUAUGUUAAAACUGUAUGA